UUUCAAAAACAAACAAAAAGAAUUAUUACAGAUUAGGACUUUGUACUUACAUUUGUUAAUGAGGCUGUUUUAAUUUUCCAUUCACCAUUGCAGUAACUGCCCUUUCUCAAGGUACACUCUCUCCUGCCUCCAUACUCCAUGUAAAGAAACAGUCGGCUACGGGGCUUUUUAUCCCAGCUGAGAGGAACCUGCAGCCAGCGUGGCUGGCUGGUUUUGCCAUUCGCGGGGACCUUUCCUGAGGACGGCGUACGGAGUGUGGGGAAUGAAGGAUGGCAGCACACCAUGCGUUAGAAGCUGUUUUGGUAGAUCUCAGUGGCACACUUCACAUUGAAGAUGCAGCUGUGCCAGGCGCACAGGAAGCUCUUAAAAGGUUGCGUGGUGCUUCUGUAAUCGUUAGGUUUGUGACCAAUACGACCAAAGAGAGCAAGCAAGACCUGUUGCAAAGGUUGAGAAAAUUGGAAUUUGAUAUCUCUGAAAAUGAAAUAUUCACAUCUCUGACUGCAGCCAGAAGUUUACUAGAGCAGAAACAAGUCAGACCCAUGCUGCUAGUUGAUGAUCGGGCACUACCUGAUUUCAAAGGAAUACAAACAAGUGAUCCUAAUACUGUAGUCAUAGGAUUGGCACCAGAACAUUUUCAUUAUCAAAUUCUGAAUCAAGCAUUCUGGUUACUCCUGGAUGGAGCACCUCUGAUAGCAAUCCACAAAGCCAGAUAUUACAAGAGGAAAGAUGACUUAGCCCUGGGGCCUGGACCAUUUGUGACUGCUUUGGAGUAUGCCACAGAUACCAAAGCCACAGUCGUGGAGAAACCCGAGAAGACGUUCUUUUUGGAAGCAUUGCGAGGCACUGGCUGUGAACCUGAGGAGGCUGUCAUGAUAGGAGAUGAUUGCAGGGAUGAUGUUGGUGGGGCUCAGGAUGUUGGCAUGCUGGGCAUCUUAGUAAAGACUGGGAAAUACCGAGCAUCAGAUGAAGAAAAAAUUAAUCCACCUCCUUACUUAACUUGUGAGAGUUUCCCUCAUGCUGUGGACCACAUUCUGCAGCACCUGUUGUGAAGCAAUGUGUGCGUCUGAAGCAACUUGAAACGCAGCUUCUUAUUGUCUGGAAUGAAUCCCUGACCAACUCAGUGCCAGCAUCGGUAGACACACAUCAGUCAGUGCUGAUCGCUUUUUAACCCUCUUUUGUUGUGCAUUAAUUAGAAAGAAAGGUAUUGAAUUGUGGCCAGCCAGUAAGCCUUGCUAAUCUCUCUUGUUUUGUAACUGAAGAUGAGACCCAAAGAAAGGGAAAGCUGAGAUUUUGUGCCAUUCCUUUAAAAAUAUUCAUCAGGUUAGGCAGGGCUGGGAGGGAGAAGCUACCACAGGGAAGAGUGUUCUCUGCUGUCUCCUCACUGGAAAACAGGCGGGGGGGAUUUCAGACUGUGAGGAAAGUUGAAUGGUGGUUUUUAAAUUAUAAAGUAAUGUAUUAAAAGGUACAUUAGGCUGUAGUUCUAGUACUGAGUUCAACUGUGAAAUCCAUCAGAUGUGCCAAAUGGAGAAGACAGAAAGUAACAAAGAGAAUUGUCCUUUAGCCCAAGUGAUACAGUGAAUUUGCUUUAACAGAUGUUGAAAACUAAAUUUUCUACUGUAUUCCCAGCAUGGGUGACUUCUUUUUCUCUUCAUUAGCCAGAGAUGACUAAUUUAAAUUUAGAACCAGAAUUUAAUUUAAAAUAAUACUUCCAUUAAUAACCUAUUCAUUGCAGAUACCUAUUAUACUGUGUAACAGUUGUUUUGGAAAUUUUAUGUAAAAUUAAAACUAUCAGUAUUUUACAGAUGUUUUAAUUAGACAUUGUUAUUAACAGGAACAGUGCAGAAACUGGAAUCAAGCCUUGUAAUGUCUUAUAGACCAUGCAUUUUUGAAGUUAGUGUCCACUAGGGUCCUAUUAACUGUACAUUUGCAAGAUUUCAUUAUUUUUGCCUCUGACACUAUGGGAAAAAAUUUUUAGAAGCUAUUGGGACAGAUUCAAGCUUUUAUGUACUUGGUUACUACAGCUGUAAAAUGAAAUCUCGUCUUGUAGCAUGGAUUAUUCCUCUCAUGUUAAACCCACCAAAAUGAAGGGGACUAAAUAGGUAAUGAUUUUCCUAGUGCAUUUGCAUACUGUGACAACCCUGGGCCUUGCAAUAGUUUUACAGGGCUCUUGGGCAUUGAGUUAUGAGGAUGUAAUUGUACAUCAUUGUAGUGUUCACCUUAUUGAAGCUCACUCUGAUGUUAAUGAGCUUCGGGUUUUGAUGCUUGUUUAGCGAUCAGCAGUCUUGGAUGGGAGGGAACAAAGCUAAAUAAAUCGUAGUUUGGUGA